UACGUAGGUGGCAAGCGUUGUCCGGAUUUACUGGGCGUAAAGAGCGCGCAGGCGGUCGUUCAAGUCGCGUGUGAAAGCCCCCGGCUCAACUGGGGAGGGUCACGCGAUACUGAUCGACUCGAAGGCAGGAGAGGGUAGUGGAAUUCCCGGUGUAGUGGUGAAAUGCGUAGAUAUCAGGAGGAAUACCUAUGGCGAAAGCAGGUAUCUGGGCCAUCACUGACGCUGAGCUGCGAAAGCUAGGGGAGCAAACAGG
rnacentral:rRNA from 1 species